rnacentral:rRNA from 1 species
UACGGAGGGGGCGAGCGUUAUUCGGAAUUAUUGGGCGUAAAGGGUGCGUAGGCGGCUGAAUAAGUCAAAGGUGAAAUCCCUCGGCUCAACUGAGGAACUGCCUUUGAAACUGUUCGGCUUGAGGCCGGGAGGGGGUAGCGGAAUUCCCAGUGUAGCGGUGAAAUGCGUAGAUAUUGGGAGGAACACCAGUGGCGAAGGCGGCUACCUGGACCGAUUCUGACGCUGAGGCGCGAAAGCGUGGGGAGCAAACAGG